rnacentral:lncRNA from 1 species
GGCGUAAGUGAAGACCUGGUGUAAAUGUGCAGCAAGCCAGUCUUUCAGAACAAGAAGCUGCUAAAGAGUGUGUCUGAUAAAGACCACUGUCUUAGAUAAUUAGAUUGGAGGACAGCCAGCAUAGCCUGUCAUCUGGACAUCAUCAAACAAUUGCAACUGCAACGUCCUGCUCCUGUGAGUGAACACCCAAACAGCACGUGGCUACAGACUGCAGGGCAUGACUGUGCAGGUCGAGAUCUGCAUAUGUGUCACAAAAGACUUCUGGUCUCACCGUUUCCAUUGAAUGAAUUUGAAUGAAGGAGUACUUUACCAGGAUCAUGAAUACAAUGAAUCGCUUCCUGAGUGACUGUCCGAAUUACGGCCUUUCAGAGCGCAGGGUACAUACCACCUAGUGAAAGGUACUGGGAAAGUGCAACUGAUGUCUUCUGUGGUCUGCAGUAUUCCUUCCUUGCUUCCCUCAGAUUCCAUGGACACACUGUCCUUCGGAAGAGCUCCU